rnacentral:rRNA from 1 species
GACGAAUGCUGGCGGCGUGCCUAAUACAUGCAAGUAGAACGCUGAAGAGAGGAGCUUGCUCUUCUUGGAUGAGUUGCGAACGGGUGAGUAACGCGUAGGUAACCUGCCUUGUAGCGGGGGAUAACUAUUGGAAACGAUAGCUAAUACCGCAUAACAAUGGAUGACACAUGUCAUUUAUUUGAAAGGGGCAAUUGCUCCACUACAAGAUGGACCUGCGUUGUAUUAGCUAGUAGGUGAGGUAAUGGCUCACCUAGGCGACGAUACAUAGCCGACCUGAGAGGGUGAUCGGCCACACUGGGACUGAGACACGGCCCAGACUCCUACGGGAGGCAGCAGUGGGGAAUCUUCGGCAAUGGGGGCAACCCUGACCGAGCAACGCCGCGUGAGUGAAGAAGGUUUUCGGAUCGUAAAGCUCUGUUGUAAGUCAAGAACGGGUGUGAGAGUGGAAAGUUCACACUGUGACGGUAGCUUACCAGAAAGGGACGGCUAACUACGUG